rnacentral:snoRNA from 1 species
UGGACCAAAGAGAAUAACGUGCCAUGAACCAAUGAUCACGAUCAAUCUGAUUCUCUGAAACUAAGAUCCAGU